CCAGACUCCUACGGGAGGCAGCAGUGAGGAAUCUUCCACAAUGGGCGAAAGCCUGAUGGAGCAACGCCGCGUGAAGGAUGAAGGCCUUCGGGUUGUAAACUUCUUUUAUGAGUGAAGAAUAUGACGGUAACUCAUGAAUAAGCACCGGCUAACUACGUGCCAGCAGCCGCGGUCAUACGUAGGGUGCAAGCAUUAUCCGGAGUGACUGGGCGUAAAGAGUUGCGUAGGCGGUUUAAUAAGUGAAUAGUGAAACCUGGUGGCUCAACCAUACAGACUAUUAUUCAAACUGUUAAACUCGAGAAUGGUAGAGGUAACUGGAAUUUCUUGUGUAGGAGUGAAAUCCGUAGAUAUAAGAAGGAACACCAAUGGCGUAGGCAGGUUACUGGGCCAUUUCUGACGCUAAGGCACGAAAGCGUGGGGAGCGAACCGGAUUAGAUACCCGGGUAGUCCACGCCGUAAACGAUGGAUACUAGCUGUUGGAGGUAUCGACCCCUUCAGUAGCGAAGCUAACGCGUUAAGUAUCCCGCCUGUGGAGUACGGCCGCAAGGCUAAAACAUAAAGGAAUUGACGGGGGCCCCGCACAAG
rnacentral:rRNA from 1 species